rnacentral:rRNA from 1 species
UACGGGAGGCAGCAGUGAGGAAUAUUGGUCAAUGGACGAGAGUCUGAACCAGCCAAGUAGCGUGAAGGAUGAAGGUCCUACGGAUUGUAAACUUCUUUUAUAAGGGAAUAAAACCUCCCACGUGUGGGAGCUUGUAUGUACCUUAUGAAUAAGCAUCGGCUAACUCCGUGCCAGCAGCCGCGGUAAUACGGAGGAUGCGAGCGUUAUCCGGAUUUAUUGGGUUUAAAGGGAGCGCAGACGGGUCGUUAAGUCAGCUGUGAAAGUUUGGGGCUCAACCUUAAAAUUGCAGUUGAUACUGGCGUCCUUGAGUGCGGUUGAGGUGUGCGGAAUUCGUGGUGUAGCGGUGAAAUGCUUAGAUAUCACGAAGAACUCCGAUUGCGAAGGCAGCACACUAAGCCGUAACUGACGUUCAUGCUCGAAAGUGUGGGUAUCAAACAGGAUUAGAUACCCUGGUAGUCCACACGGUAAACGAUGGAUACUCGCUGUUGGCAAUAUACUGUCAGCGGCUUA